GACGAACGCUGGCGGCGUGCCUAAAACAUGCAAGUCGAACGGUGUAGCAAUACACAGUGGCGAACGGCGGAGUAAUACAUAAGCAACGUGCCCUGAAGACUGGGAUAGUCAGAGGAAACUCUGGGUAAUACCAGAUGUGGUCCCUUUCCGGCAUCGGAGAGUGAUUAAAUGGUUUUUCGCUUCUGGAGCGGCUUAUGGCCUAUCAGGUAGUUGGUGAGGUAACGGCUCACCAAGCCGACGACGGGUAGCGGGUCUGAGGAGGAUGAUCCGCUCGAGUGGGACUGAGACACGGCCCACACACCUACGGGUGGCAGCAGGUUGGGAAUCUUGCAACAAGUGGGGAAACCCUGAUGCAGCGACGCCGCGU
rnacentral:rRNA from 1 species